rnacentral:misc_RNA from 1 species
AUGAACUUAUAUUUUCCACCUUUUAUUUACUCCUUUUUUCUAUUUACAGGAACUAUAAUUACUGUGUCUUCCUCUUCAUUAUUUGGGGCGUGAAUAGGACUAGAAAUUAAUUUAAUAUCAUUUAUUCCAAUAAUGAUUAAUUCUGAGAACAAUAAAAAAAGUACAGAAUCAGCAAUUAAAUAUUUCUUAAUUCAAGCUAUUGCUUCUGGAAUUGUUAUUUUUAGUGCUUUAUACUUUUACUUUUUUAAUAGUAGAACUUUAUCACAAGUACCUAAUAUACUAAUUACUUUAGCAUUAAGAAUAAAACUUGGAAUAGCCCCUUUCCAUUUUUGAUUUCCAGAAGUUUUAGAAGGUUUAAAUUGAAUUAAUUCCUUGAUUUUGUUGACUUGACAAAAAAUUUCCCCUUUAGUAAUUUUAUCUUUAUUUUUUUAUUCUAAAAUUUUAAUUACCUUAGCUCUGACUUCAGCUUUAUUAGGUGCAAUUUCCGGAAUUAACCAAACUUCUAUACGUAAAAUUUUAGCCUUUUCUUCAAUUUCACACUUAGGAUGGAUUGGGGGUAUAAUAUAUUUUAAUUCUUCACUAUGACUUGACUAUUUUAUAGUAUACAGAUUUACUAGAUUUAUUUUAUGUUUUUCUUUUUGAAUGCUAGACUUGAACUAUUUCUCUCAACUUACUAUACUAAAAAAUCUUAAUGCUAAAUUUAUUAUUUUUAUUAAUCUUUUAUCAUUAGGAGGCUUGCCACCAUUGUUAGGAUUUCUUCCUAAAUGAAUGGCAAUGAUAGUAAUUAAAACUAGUUUUCCUAUUUUAAUAAUUUUAAUUUUAUCUAGACUAAUUACUUUAUAUUUUUAUACACGUCUUUGUUUUAGAACUUUCACUCUCUAUAUUCAGAGUAUAACUUGAUUUAAAAAAGAAAAUAGCUCCAUAAAAAACUUUUUCUUAUUAAGAAUUUUGACAUUCUUUUCUAUUAUUGGAAUUAUGCCUAUAAGACUAUUAUACCUGUAA